UUGCCCAUUCAUGGUAAUCCAGUUCGUUGAGUGGCCAUGACCUGAGGGGUGAAAAAAUUCCUGUUUCAAACCUAGAGCAGCAGCCCCGCCGCGCCCCACCCCCAUGUUUUGGAUCCUGUCGAAAGGGACAGUG